AUGGAUUCCCACAGACUUCUGUAGAACUCUGAACCGGAACCUGUGGUGUUGAAAUUUGACGUGUUAGGUAAGCAGACUGCAGCUCGUCGUCUGCUGUGUACGGGUCGGGACUACGAUAAAGUCAAUGCCCGCUGUCUCUAAAGCAGAAAUGCUGGGGGUAUAAUUCAUUCUUCAGUUGCAGUAAGUUACUUCUUCAAUGCAGUGUGGAAAGAAGGUUACAAGCCUAUUUUAUUUAUUGACAAACAAGAUAAAAAAAACUUCAAAUAGCACAGCAGCUGGACAAUGAUAUCCCCAGCAGCACAACAACCCCAGUCAGGUGCAGUGCAACAGUUCUAGACUGCAUUUUCACUCAACCUUGUUUCUCUUUCUUCCCCGUGUUCUCCAACUUCUCUCUCUCUCUCU